UACGUAGGUGGCGAGCGUUGUCCGGAAUUAUUGGGCGUAAAGAGCAUGUAGGCGGUUUUUUAAGUCUGGAGUGAAAAUGCGGGGCUUAACCCCGUAUGGCUCUGGAUACUGGAAGACUUGAGUGCAGGAGAGGAAAGGGGAAUUCCCAGUGUAGCGGUGAAAUGCGUAGAUAUUGGGAGGAACACCAGUGGCGAAGGCGCCUUUCUGGACUGUGUCUGACGCUGAGAUGCGAAAGCCAGGGUAGCGAACGGG
rnacentral:rRNA from 1 species